GACCUGCUGGUGAAUGGUUCACACCAAUCUUUCCUGAAGGAUGAGCGAGAGGCAAUUUUGAAAUGGGAGUUCCUGGUUCGAUUCCGGGUCAGGUCC